AACGAACGCUGGCGACAGGCUUAACACAUGCAAGUCGAACGCAUCCUUCGGGGUGAGUGGCAGACGGGUGAGUAACGCGUGGGAACGUGCCCUUCAGUUCGGGAUAACCCAGGGAAACUUGGGCUAAUACCGGAUACGUGCGAGAGCAGAAAGAUUUAUCGCUGAAGGAUCGGCCCGCGUCUGAUUAGCUAGUUGGUGGGGUAAUGGCCCACCAAGGCGACGAUCAGUAGCUGGUCUGAGAGGAUGAUCAGCCACAUUGGGACGGAGACACGGCCCAAACUCCUUCGGGAGGCAGCAGUGGGGAAUAUUGGACAAUGGGCGCAAGCUUGAUCCAGCCAUGCCGCGUGAGUGAUGAAGGCCUUAGGGUUGUAAAGCUCUUUCGUCCGGGACGAUAAUGACGGUACCGGAAGAAGAAGCCCCGGCUAACUUCGUGCCAGCCGCCGCAGUAA
rnacentral:rRNA from 1 species